GUUACGGCGGUUAUGGCGGGAAGGAAACACCCGGUUACAUUCCGAACCCGGAAGUUAAGCUUCUCUGCGCCGAUGGUACUGCACUCGGGAGGGUGUGGGAGAGUAGGUCACCGCCGGACAAU
rnacentral:rRNA from 1 species